rnacentral:RNase_P_RNA from 2 species
CUGACCGGACCAGAUGAUCGCCGGGUCGACCCAGUCGACCGGGAGGAAAGUCCGAACACCACAGGACAGGACGCUCCAUAACGUGGAGUCACGGUGACGUGAAGGAAAGUGCAACAGAGAGCAGACCGCCGGCAGCCCCUGGCUGUCGGUAAGGGUGAAACGGUGCGGUAAGAGCGCACCAGUUUUCCGGGUGACCGGAAAAGCUUGGUAAACCCCGUCCGGUGCAAGACCAAAUAGGGAAACGCUUGAGGGCGGUCCGUCCGAAGUUUCCGGGUAGGUUGCUUGAGGGGUACGGCAACGUACACCUUAGAUGAAUGAUCGUUGACCGGGUUUCGGGCAACCGGAUCCGGUAACAGAAUUCGGCUUACGGGCCGGUCAGGCCG